rnacentral:rRNA from 1 species
AUUGAACGCUGGCGGCAGGCCUAACACAUGCAAGUCGAGCGAGCGGCGGACGGGUGAGUAAUGUAUGGGAAACUGCCUGAUGGAGGGGGAUAACUACUGGAAACGGUGGCUAAUACCGCAUACCAUCGGAUGUACCCAGAUGGGAUUAGCUAGUAGGUGGGGUAACGGCUCACCUAGGCGACGAUCCCUAGCUGGUCUGAGAGGAUGAUCAGCCACACUGGAAAUGAGAAACGGUCCAGACUCCUACGGGAGGCAGCAGUGGGGAAUAUUGCACAAUGGGCGCAAGCCUGAUGCAGCCAUGCCGCGUGUGUGAAGAAGGCCUUAGGGUUGUAAAGCACUUUCAGUGGGGAGGCGUUACCCGCAGAAGAAGCACCGGCUAACUCCGUGCCAGCAGCCGCGGUAAUAC